rnacentral:rRNA from 1 species
GAUGAACGCUGGCGGCGUGCUUAACACAUGCAAGUCGAACGGUGAAGGCGGAGCUUGCUCUGCUGGAUCAGUGGCGAACGGGUGAGUAACACGUGAGCAAUCUGCCCCUGACUCUGGGAUAAGCGCUGGAAACGGCGUCUAAUACUGGAUACGAGCUGCGAAGGCAUCUUCAGCAGCUGGAAAGAAUUUCGGUCAGGGAUGAGCUCGCGGCCUAUCAGCUUGUUGGUGAGGUAAUGGCUCACCAAGGCGUCGACGGGUAGCCGGCCUGAGAGGGUGACCGGCCACACUGGGACUGAGACACGGCCCAGACUCCUACGGGAGGCAGCAGUGGGGAAUAUUGCACAAUGGGCGAAAGCCUGAUGCAGCAACGCCGCGUGAGGGACGACGGCCUUCGGGUGGUAAACCUCUUUUAGCAGGGAAGAAGCGAAAGUGACGGUACCUGCAGAAAAAGCGCCGGCUAACUACGU